GGGUUGUGAGGUUAAGCGACUAAGCGUACACGGUGGAUGCCCUGGCAGUCAGAGGCGAUGAAGGACGUGCUAAUCUGCGAUAAGCGUCGGUAAGGUGAUAUGAACCGUUAUAACCGGCGAUUUCCGAAUGGGGAAACCCAGUGUGUUUCGACACACUAUCAUUAACUGAAUCCAUAGGUUAAUGAGGCGAACCGGGGGAACUGAAACAUCUAAGUACCCCGAGGAAAAGAAAUCAACCGAGAUUCCCCCAGUAGCGGCGAGCGAACGGGGAGGAGCCCAGAGCCUGAAUCAGUGUGUGUGUUAGUGGAAGCGUCUGGAAAGGCGCGCGAUACAGGGUGACAGCCCCGUACACAAAAAUGCACAUGCUGUGAGCUCGAUGAGUAGGGCGGGACACGUGGUAUCCUGUCUGAAUAUGGGGGGACCAUCCUCCAAGGCUAAAUACUCCUGACUGACCGAUAGUGAACCAGUACCGUGAGGGAAAGGCGAAAAGAACCCCGGCGAGGGGAGUGAAAAAGAACCUGAAACCGUGUACGUACAAGCAGUGGGAGCACGCUUAGGCGUGUGACUGCGUACCUUUUGUAUAAUGGGUCAGCGACUUAUAUUCUGUAGCAAGGUUAACCGAAUAGGGGAGCCGAAGGGAAACCGAGUCUUAACUGGGCGUUAAGUUGCAGGGUAUAGACCCGAAACCCGGUGAUCUAGCCAUGGGCAGGUUGAAGGUUGGGUAACACUAACUGGAGGACCGAACCGACUAAUGUUGAAAAAUUAGCGGAUGACUUGUGGCUGGGGGUGAAAGGCCAAUCAAACCGGGAGAUAGCUGGUUCUCCCCGAAAGCUAUUUAGGUAGCGCCUCGUGAAUUCAUCUCCGGGGGUAGAGCACUGUUUCGGCAAGGGGGUCAUCCCGACUUACCAACCCGAUGCAAACUGCGAAUACCGGAGAAUGUUAUCACGGGAGACACACGGCGGGUGCUAACGUCCGUCGUGAAGAGGGAAACAACCCAGACCGCCAGCUAAGGUCCCAAAGUCAUGGUUAAGUGGGAAACGAUGUGGGAAGGCCCAGACAGCCAGGAUGUUGGCUUAGAAGCAGCCAUCAUUUAAAGAAAGCGUAAUAGCUCACUGGUCGAGUCGGCCUGCGCGGAAGAUGUAACGGGGCUAAACCAUGCACCGAAGCUGCGGCAGCGACGCUGAUGCGUUGUUGGGUAGGGGAGCGUUCUGUAAGCCUGCGAAGGUGUGCUGUGAGGCAUGCUGGAGGUAUCAGAAGUGCGAAUGCUGACAUAAGUAACGAUAAAGCGGGUGAAAAGCCCGCUCGCCGGAAGACCAAGGGUUCCUGUCCAACGUUAAUCGGGGCAGGGUGAGUCGACCCCUAAGGCGAGGCCGAAAGGCGUAGUCGAUGGGAAACAGGUUAAUAUUCCUGUACUUGGUGUUACUGCGAAGGGGGGACGGAGAAGGCUAUGUUGGCCGGGCGACGGUUGUCCCGGUUUAAGCGUGUAGGCUGGUUUUCCAGGCAAAUCCGGAAAAUCAAGGCUGAGGCGUGAUGACGAGGCACUACGGUGCUGAAGCAACAAAUGCCCUGCUUCCAGGAAAAGCCUCUAAGCAUCAGGUAACAUCAAAUCGUACCCCAAACCGACACAGGUGGUCAGGUAGAGAAUACCAAGGCGCUUGAGAGAACUCGGGUGAAGGAACUAGGCAAAAUGGUGCCGUAACUUCGGGAGAAGGCACGCUGAUAUGUAGGUGAAGUCCCUCGCGGAUGGAGCUGAAAUCAGUCGAAGAUACCAGCUGGCUGCAACUGUUUAUUAAAAACACAGCACUGUGCAAACACGAAAGUGGACGUAUACGGUGUGACGCCUGCCCGGUGCCGGAAGGUUAAUUGAUGGGGUUAGCGCAAGCGAAGCUCUUGAUCGAAGCCCCGGUAAACGGCGGCCGUAACUAUAACGGUCCUAAGGUAGCGAAAUUCCUUGUCGGGUAAGUUCCGACCUGCACGAAUGGCGUAAUGAUGGCCAGGCUGUCUCCACCCGAGACUCAGUGAAAUUGAACUCGCUGUGAAGAUGCAGUGUACCCGCGGCAAGACGGAAAGACCCCGUGAACCUUUACUAUAGCUUGACACUGAACAUUGAGCCUUGAUGUGUAGGAUAGGUGGGAGGCUUUGAAGUGUGGACGCCAGUCUGCAUGGAGCCGACCUUGAAAUACCACCCUUUAAUGUUUGAUGUUCUAACGUGGACCCGUGAUCCGGGUUGCGGACAGUGUCUGGUGGGUAGUUUGACUGGGGCGGUCUCCUCCUAAAGAGUAACGGAGGAGCACGAAGGUUGGCUAAUCCUGGUCGGACAUCAGGAGGUUAGUGCAAUGGCAUAAGCCAGCUUGACUGCGAGCGUGACGGCGCGAGCAGGUGCGAAAGCAGGUCAUAGUGAUCCGGUGGUUCUGAAUGGAAGGGCCAUCGCUCAACGGAUAAAAGGUACUCCGGGGAUAACAGGCUGAUACCGCCCAAGAGUUCAUAUCGACGGCGGUGUUUGGCACCUCGAUGUCGGCUCAUCACAUCCUGGGGCUGAAGUAGGUCCCAAGGGUAUGGCUGUUCGCCAUUUAAAGUGGUACGCGAGCUGGGUUUAGAACGUCGUGAGACAGUUCGGUCCCUAUCUGCCGUGGGCGCUGGAGAACUGAGGGGGGCUGCUCCUAGUACGAGAGGACCGGAGUGGACGCAUCACUGGUGUUCGGGUUGUCAUGCCAAUGGCACUGCCCGGUAGCUAAAUGCGGAAGAGAUAAGUGCUGAAAGCAUCUAAGCACGAAACUUGCCCCGAGAUGAGUUCUCCCUGACUCCUUGAGAGUCCUGAAGGAACGUUGAAGACGACGACGUUGAUAGGCCGGGUGUGUAAGCGCAGCGAUGCGUUGAGCUAACCGGUACUAAUGAACCGUGAGGCUUAACCUUACAACGCCGAAGGUGUUU
rnacentral:rRNA from 1 species